rnacentral:rRNA from 1 species
UACGGAGGGUGCGAGCGUUAAUCGGAAUUACUGGGCGUAAAGCGUACGCAGGCGGUUUUUUAAGCGAGAUGUGAAAGCCCCCGGCUCAACCUGGGGACUGCCUUUCGAACUGGCAAACUAGAGUGUGAUAGAGGGUGGUAGAAUUUCAGGUGUAGCGGUGAAAUGCGUAGAGAUCUGAAGGAAUACCGAUGGCGAAGGCAGCCACCUGGGUCAACACUGACGCUCAUGUACGAAAGCGUGGGGAGCAAACAGG